rnacentral:rRNA from 1 species
UACGGAGGGUGCAAGCGUUAUCCGGAUUCACUGGGUUUAAAGGGUGCGUAGGUGGCUUUGUAAGUCAGUGGUGAAAUCUUAGAGCUUAACUCUAAAACUGCCAUUGAUACUGCUUAGCUUGAAUCAGGUAGAGGUGGAUGGAAUAUUACAUGUAGCGGUGAAAUGCUUAGAUAUGUAAUAGAACACCGAUUGCGAAGGCAGUUCACUAUGCCUGCAUUGACACUGAGGCACGAAAGCGUGGGGAUCAAACAGG